rnacentral:rRNA from 1 species
UACAGAGGUCUCAAGCGUUGUUCGGAUUUAUUGGGCGUAAAGGGUGUGUAGGUGGCGCGCUAAGUCGGGUGUGAAAUUUCGGAGCUUAACUGCGGAACUGCAUUCGAUACUGGCGUGCUUGAGGACUGGAGAGGAGACUGGAAUUCAUGGUGUAGCAGUGAAAUGCGUAGAGAUCAUGAGGAAGACCAGUGGCGAAGGCGGGUCUCUGGACAGUUCCUGACACUGAGACACGAAGGCCAGGGGAGCAAACGGG